rnacentral:rRNA from 1 species
GACGAACGCUGGCGGCGUGCUUAACACAUGCCAGUCGAACGGAAAGGCCCUGCUUUUGUGGGGUGCUCGAGUGGCGAACGGGUGAGUAACCCGUGAGUAACCUGCCCUUGACUUUGGGAUAACUUCAGGAAACUGGGGCUAAUACCGGAUAGGAGCUCCUGCUGCAUGGUGGGGGUUGGAAAGUUUCGGCGGUUGGGGAUGGACUCGCGGCUUAUCAGCUUGUUGGUGGGGUAGUGGCUUACCAAGGCUUUGACGGGUAGCCGGCCUGAGAGGGUGACCGGAGAGAGUGGGAGCGACAGCCGCCACAGAGCGCGAAGGGAGGAAGGAGGGGGAAAUAGGGGACAGGGGGAGGAGGCAUGAAGCAGAAGGCGGAGGGGUGGGGGAGCGGCUUAGGGUGUGUAAGCCGGGGGGGAAAGGAAGGAGGGGGAAUGGAAGGAAAUGGAAAAAGAAGAAGCGAAUAACUAGGAGCAAGCGGCAGGGGUAAGGGUCGAAACGAACACGUAAGAAC